rnacentral:rRNA from 1 species
CACGUAGGAAGCGAGCGUUAUCCGGAUUUACUGGGCGUAAAGCGUGUGCAGGCGGUCACGUAAGUUGGAUGUGAAAGCUCCUGGCUUAACUGGGAGAGGUCGUUCAGAACUGCGAGACUAGAGUGCGAAAGAGGGAAGCAGAAUUCCGAGUGUAGUGGUGAAAUGCGUAGAUAUUCGGAGGAAUACCAGAGGCGAAGGCGGCUUCCUGGUUCGCAACUGACGCUGAGACACGAAAGCUAGGGUAGCAAACGGG